AACAACUUGAAGAUGGU
rnacentral:sRNA from 1 species